rnacentral:rRNA from 1 species
AUUAUACAGCGAAACUGCGAAAGGCUCAUUAUAUAAGUUAUCGUUUAUUUGAUAGUACCUUACUACUUGGAUAACCGUGGUAAUUCUAGAGCUAAUACAUGCUAAAAAUCCCGACUUACGAAGGGAUGUAUUUAUUAGAUUAAAAACCAAUGCCCUUCGGGGCUCACUGGUGAUUCAUAAUAACUUCUCGAAUCGCAUGGCCUUGCGCCGGCGAUGGUUCAUUCAAAUUUCUUCCCUAUCAACUUUCGAUGCUAGAGUAGUGUUCUAGCAUGGUUACAACGGGUAACGGAGGGUUAGGGCUCGACCCCGGAGAAGGAGCCUGAGAAACGGCUACUACAUCCAAGGAAGGCAGCAGGCGCGCAAAUUACCCAAUCCCGACACGGGGAGGUAGUGACGAUAAAUACUGAUACAGGGCUCUUUUGGGUCUUGUAAUUGGAAUGAGUACAAUUUAAAUCCCUUAACGAGGAACAAUUGGAGGGCAAGUCUGGUGCCAGCAGCCGCGGUAAUUCCAGCUCCAAUAGCGUAUAUUAAAGUUGUUGUGGUUAAAAAGCUCGUAGUAGAACCUUGGGCCUGGCUGGCCGGUCCGCCUCACCGCGUGCACUGGUCCGGCCGGGCCUUUCCCCCUGUGGAACCUCAUGCCCUUCACUGGGUGUGUGGGAAAACAGGACUUUUACUUUGAAAAAAUUAGAGUGCUCCAGGCAGGCCUAUGCUCGAAUACAUUAGCAUGGAAUAAUAGAAUAGGACGUGUGGUUCUAUUUUGUUGGUUUCUAGGACCGCCGUAAUGAUUAAUAGGGACAGUCGGGGGCAUCAGUAUUCAAUUGUCAGAGGUGAAAUUCUUGGAUUUAUUGAAGACUAACUACUGCGAAAGCAUUUGCCAAGGAUGUUUUCAUUUAUCAGGAACGAAAGUUAGGGGAUCGAAGACGAUCAGAUACCGUCGU